GGAACCCUGCGUCAGGCUGGGAAAGACCGAAUGGGUGAGGUUGACCAACCCAAGUUUGUGGCUAAGAGGUGAUUUGAACCCUGGUCUGCAGCAGCAGAGUCUGACAGUGAUUCUCCCUUUGUUGGACUCCAGUUCCCAGUAUCCCCUGCCAUUUGGCCAGGUGCCCACCCGCCCCUUUGCAACCUUGGAUUACGAAUAGCUACGGAUCCAGACCGGACGCUCAAAGGAUCUGCCAGAUUCCCUCGCUCGCCUUCGUGGAACUUGCAGGUGGCGCACCAACUCAAAGAUGCAGCGGAAGGACGUCCGACACUUUUUACAAGACGGCUGCGCUGUGGCGUUUCCGCUGCC